GACUAGGUAGCAUAGUGGUUAUGCAAAAGAUUGCAAAUCUUUAUUGGUUUAAUUCGAAUCUAACCUUAGUUU
rnacentral:tRNA from 1 species